CACACAAUGCCCAUGUGACCACACUAGGAAGUCCAAUCGCCUCUCCCCUCCAACCCCCAUCGAAAGACAAGAAGCCCAGCCGCUCGACGGAGGGGAGAGCUUGGUGGCUCACUGUUCCAACUUCAGGGUUCCAGUCCCCACUUUGAACCCCCCGGGGCCUCGGGGACAAGUGAGAACCACCACUGUCCCCUCUCUCGCCUCUCUCCCAGAGCCCCGAGAGCUACAGGCAGAGACAUGCUCGGGUCUGUCACCCUCCUUCUCGCCACCCUGCUCCAUGCUGCCCAGACGGCACUCAUUCUGGACCAGCCCACCUUUUCCAUCACCAAAAACACCGGCAAAUCCGCAACGAUCCCCUGCAAGUUUUCCGAAAAAAAGAUCACGUACGUCCACUGGUAUCGCCAACAGCCUGGGGAAGCUCCCCAGCGCCUGCUCUACUAUGACCUGGCCAACUCGCAAACUACGGUGGAUUCAAGAUUCGACUCAAAGAAUAUCUAUGCUUACAAGUACCAAGAUAGAAGCUGCAUGCUGGUGGUUGAGAAACUGGGUGUGAGUGAUGCUGGCAUCUAUUACUGUGCCAGCUGGGACACCACGGUGACACAGCUCCCUUCGCCUCCCAUACAAAAAAUCACUCCCUGUGGUCACCAGAAGCCAGGCCUCUGCCCUUCACAGACCCAAGCACUGAAUCUCACUCCCUGCUUCAGGCUCCUGGACAAAUUAAGGGGGCCAGGUAGUUUUCUGGAGGAAACGGGUGACAGCAAGUCCUAG